rnacentral:rRNA from 1 species
UACGGGGGGGGCAAGCGUUGUUCGGAAUUACUGGGCGUAAAGGGCUCGUAGGCGGCCAACUAAGUCAGACGUGAAAUCCCUCGGCUUAACCGGGGAACUGCAUCUGAUACUGGAUGGCUUGAGUUCGGGAGAGGGAUGCGGAAUUCCAGGUGUAGCGGUGAAAUGCGUAGAUAUCUGGAGGAACACCGGUGGCGAAGGCGGCAUCCUGGACCGCCACUGACGCUGAGGAGCGAAAGCCAGGGGAGCAAACGGG